CAACUAAAUAUUUAAAUGUUUCUUUGGGGGGGAUUGAGUAUUAAACCAAGAUGUGCUUAACCGCAGAGCUGCAUCUCCAGCUCAUUCUUAUGUUUUAUUUUAUUUAGACACAGUUUUGUUGAGUUGCUCAGGGACCUGGUAAGUUGCUGAGGCUUGUUUUGAAUUCAGGAUCCUUCUGCCUCAGCUUCCAGAGCCACUGGGACUGCAGGUGUGUGCCAUUGUGCCCAGCUUAAAUGAUUUUAAGGGAGUUUUACAUUAGCCUUACAUAGCUCAGUAGGGAGAGCAGAGGACUUUAGGUGUUUGUGGAAAUCUGCAGGUUGCUAUCCCAAAUGUCACUCAAAUGUGAAUGGUUCUAUUCUCUAAGUGUGAAGUGUGAGCACUCUUAUUUGAGCAUAUGCAUGACUUGUACAGCAUCCUGAGGCUGGAUAAAUGAAUAUGGAUAGUGGUUUUCUCAGAGCCAAUAAAAAUACAUGAAGCUGGACGUGGUGGUGCACGCCUGUAAUCCCAGUGGGAUGGGAGGCUGACAGGAGGAUCACAAGUUCAAAGCCAGCCUCAGCAAUGGCACAGCACUAAGCAACUCAGUGAGACCCUGUCUCUAAAUAAAAUACAGUUAACUGCAAGAUAAUCUCAGGGAAUUUUGGAAGGAAAGUGGGAGCCAAGGAGUUACUGGCCUGUGCAGGCUUGUGGUCUACCUCCCUCAUACCCUGACUCUGCACAUGUUCCUUCCCCACAGGAAGAGAGCAGCUCCAAUACCCCUGACCCCAGGGAGCACAGCCCACACAUCUACAACUGCAUGCUUGCAUCAGCCACCCAGUUCCUGCUUCUUCUAUUCUGCCAUUUGCAGAAGUCUCUCCAGUUCCUGAAACCUUCCCAACCUACCUGAUCCUGGGGCCCAGCUGGAAUGAGAGUGUUUCUGCUGGAGUCUUCCCUGCAGACACUUAUUUUCACCCCUCUGAACUCAGC
rnacentral:lncRNA from 1 species